rnacentral:tRNA from 1 species
GCCGAGGUGGCGGAACUGGCAGACGCGCCAGCCUUAGGAGCUGGUGAGCGCAAGCUCGUGGAGGUUCGAGUCCUCUCCUCGGCA